GAUGCAUCACACGUUUUUUUUACAGACAGGCCCAUGGUGAUGGCAGUGGGAGGGAGACAAAGACAGAUGGAGAGUGUGUGUGUGUGUGUGUGUGAGUGUGUGCAGAUCCAUGCAUUAUGUUGCAGGAAUACUUGCUGCUUACCCCCUCAUGAAGGACGCAGCAGUGCGGCCUGGCAGCUGUGAAAUGAAAUGAGGGAGGAGGUCCAGUUUAUUUCAGACCCAGGAUCUCCCAGGCCGGCCAGCCAGCCAACCAGGCCGCCAAGCGUCAUCAAUUCACCCCUAAUCUCUCCCCCCAGUCCUUUUUACAGCUAAUCCAUUGUGUUGGUCAUUGUCAUCUGAUCAUGUGUGACCCCGGCUGCUUUAUAGCUGGUGCCUGGCAGCGUAGCAUUGACUUUUGACAUCAAUCUAUGGGCAGAUAUCAGGGGGGAGGGGGAGAUUCAAACUCACUUUGGAUUGUAAUUUGGCUUUUUAUUGGGACUUUUUACGAGAAAUGUUGGUUAUCACACCCAUCUCCUGGAAGGAAAAGUCAUGGUGAGGAGGGCUGAUGUUUGGGUAGGAUGAUUGUCGGAGAAAGCCAACAAGAAACUAUAAAAAACAUGCUUGUUUUCAUAUUUGUCAUGAAAAAGUCUUCCUUUACCUCUACUGAAAAGAGAAUGUUUGACCUCAUGAAUCAGGUAUUAUCAGGUUUGUGGUAAGUCCAGUCUACGGUGGGGAAAUUGCCAUAAAAACAGAAUU